rnacentral:rRNA from 1 species
UACGUAGGGGGCGAGCGUUGUCCGGAUUCAUUGGGCGUAAAGAGCUCGUAGGCGGCUUGGCAAGUCGGGUGUGAAAACUUCAGGCUCAACCUGGAGCGGCCACUCGAUACUGCCAUGGCUUGAGUCCGGUAGGGGACCACGGAAUUCCUGGUGUAGCGGUGAAAUGCGCAGAUAUCAGGAGGAACACCGGUGGCGAAGGCGGCUCUCUGGGACGGUACUGACGCUGAGACGCGAAAGCGUGGGGAGCGAACAGG